CCUACGGGAGGCAGCAGUGGGGAAUAUUGGACAAUGGGGGGAACCCUGAUCCAGCCAUGCCGCGUGUGUGAAGAAGGCCCUCGGGUUGUAAAGCACUUUCAGUGAGGAAGAACGCCUGGUGGUUAAUACCCAUCAGGAAAGACAUCACUCACAGAAGAAGCACCGGCUAACUCCGUGCCAGCAGCCGCGGUAAUACGGAGGGUGCGAGCGUUAAUCGGAAUUACUGGGCGUAAAGCGCGCGUAGGUGGCUUGAUAAGCCGGUUGUGAAAGCCCCGGGCUCAACCUGGGAACGGCAUCCGGAACUGUCAAGCUAGAGUGCAGGAGAGGAAGGUAGAAUUCCCGGUGUAGCGGUGAAAUGCGUAGAGAUCAGGAGGAAUACCAGUGGCGAAGGCGGCCUUCUGGACUGACACUGACACUGAGGUGCGAAAGCGUGGGUAGCAAACAGGAUUAGAUACCCGGGUAGUC
rnacentral:rRNA from 1 species